AAAAGGUAAGCGGGUAGAGCUGAAAAGACUAAGCUUGAUAAUUGAUGCUUGUGGUUGGUUAUGAUGCCGGUAUACUUUGGAAAUGUUGCCCUUGUGGUGUAUUCUGUGUUACCGAUGUUGUUGAUGAUCAUUGGCUGUUUUUGUCUUGCUUAAACCAUGAUCAGUAAGUGAUUUGGUCUCUUGUGCUUGGGAAGGUAGCCAUUUGAAUUGCUUCGGCUUUAUGAGUGGUGUUAUAGCCCGUGGUAUGAGGGUAUCGAGUUCUUAUUGUGCUAUGCGUUGAUGAUGCUACAUGUUUGUCAUGUGCGUUUGCCGUGAUUAGGUGACUUAUGCAUUUAUGUAAAGUUGCUUUUUUGCGUGUGGAUGUUAUGUGGUGGGCCUCUGUUAAUUUGUUGGCAAAUAAUCACAUGGUUACGUAGUAAGCUUUCUACCUGUCCCGUCUUGAAACACGGACCAAGGAGCCUAACAUGUAAGCGAGUCGUAGGGUUCUUCGAAACCUGAAGGCGCAUUGAAAGAGAAGACUGACACUUACGCUUAGUCGUGGUAUGAUCCUCAUUAAAGGUCCUUGUGGCACUUGGUGGGGCGCAAUACCGGCUUGUGUGAUGCAUUUUAUGUAACGCAAAGCAUGAGCUUACAUGGUAGAACCCGAAAGAUGGUGAACUAUGCUUGCAUAGGCUGAAGCCAGGGGAAACUCUGGUGGAGGGCCGCAGCGAUUCUGACGUGCAAAUCGAUCGUCAAAUGUGAGUAUAGGGGCGAAAGACUAAUCGAACCAUCUAGUAGCUGGUUCCCACCGAAGUUUCCCUCAGGAUAGCUGGUACUCGGUGUACAUUGAAACAAAGUUUUAUCUGGUAAAGCGAAUGAUUAGAAGUAUUGGGAAAGAAUUGUUCUCAACUUAUUCUCAAACUUUAAAUGGGUAAGGAAGUAGUCUCGCUUAAGUGGAGAUUGCUAUUUUGAAUUGAUGAAUUUUGAGUGCCAAGUGGGCCAUUUUUGGUAAGCAGAACUGGCGAUGAGGAAUGAACCUAAAGCGGUGGUUAAGGUGCCAAAGUGUUCGCUCAUGACAUCCCACAAAAGGUGUUGGUUGAUAUAGACAGCAGGACGGUGGCCAUGGAAGUUGGAAUCCGCUAAGGAGUGUGUAACAACUCACCUGCCGAAUCAACCAGCCCUGAAAAUGGAUGGCGGUCGAGCGAAACACCUAGACCAUGCCGUUACAGCAAUUUGUGUAUGCAAGUUGUGACGUGUAGGUGGGCGAAGUGGUAAGCGUUGAAGCUAUGUCUGAAAAGGCUGGUGGAGCUGCCAUUUGUG
rnacentral:rRNA from 1 species